UACGGGGGGGGCAAGCGUUGUUCGGAUUUACUGGGCGUAAAGCGCACGUAGGCGGAUCGUUAAGUCGGGGGUGAAAUCCUGGAGCUCAACUCCAGAACUGCCUUCGAUACUGGCGAUCUUGAGACCGGGAGAGGUGAGUGGAAUUCCCAGUGUAGCGGUGAAAUGCGUAGAUAUUGGGAGGAACACCAGUGGCGAAGGCGGCUCACUGGACCGGUACUGACGCUGAGGCGCGAAAGCGUGGGGAGCAACAGG
rnacentral:rRNA from 1 species